GAUGAACGCUGGCGGCGUGCCUAAUACAUGCAAGUCGAGCGAACAGACGAGGAGCUUGCUCCUCUGACGUUAGCGGCGGACGGGUGAGUAACACGUGGAUAACCUACCUAUAAGACUGGGAUAACUUCGGGAAACCGGAGCUAAUACCGGAUAAUAUAUUGAACCGCAUGGUUCAAUAGUGAAAGACGGUUUUGCUGUCACUUAUAGAUGGAUCCGCGCCGCAUUAGCUAGUUGGUAAGGUAACGGCUUACCAAGGCAACGAUGCGUAGCCGACCUGAGAGGGUGAUCCGCCACACUGGAACUGAGACACGGUCCAGACUCCUAAGGGAGGGAGCAGGAGGGAAUCUUCCCGAAUGGGCGAAAGCCUGACGGAGCAACGCCGCGUGAGUGAUGAAGGGUUUCCGAUCCUAAAACCUUGUUAUUAGGGAAGAACAAAUGUGUAAGUAACUAUGCACGUCUUGACGGUACCUAAUCAGAAAGCCACGGCUAACUACGUG
rnacentral:rRNA from 1 species